rnacentral:rRNA from 1 species
UACGUAGGGUGCGAGCGUUGUCCGGAAUUACUGGGCGUAAAGAGCUUGUAGGCGGUUUGUCGCGUCUGCUGUGAAAAUCCGGGGCUCAACCCCGGACUUGCAGUGGGUACGGGCAGACUGGAGUGUGGUAGGGGAGACUGGAAUUCCUGGUGUAGCGGUGGAAUGCGCAGAUAUCAGGAGGAACACCGGUGGCGAAGGCGGAUCUCUGGGCCGAUACUGACGCUGAGGAGCGAAAGCGUGGGGAGCGAACAGG